CCUGCUGUGCGACCAGCAGUAGUCUAGGAGAACAUGCGUCACUGGUAACGGUGGGGUUUGAAGCUUCUCCGACAAUGCGUCCCCCGGAAGUUCGGGCGAUAGGUCGUUGCGAAACGACGUAUCGGAGACUCCCAGCAGCACAGGGGUUGAGGGG
rnacentral:ncRNA from 1 species